rnacentral:rRNA from 1 species
GCGUAGGGCGGCAGCUACCAUGCAGUCGGACGGUAGCACAGAGAGCUUGCUCUUGGGUGACGAGUGGCGGACGGGUGAGUAAUGUCUGGGGAUCUGCCCGAUAGAGGGGGAUAACCACUGGAAACGGUGGCUAAUACCGCAUAACGUCGCAAGACCAAAGAGGGGGACCUUCGGGCCUCUCACUAUCGGAUGAACCCAGAUGGGAUUAGCUAGUAGGCGGGGUAAUGGCCCACCUAGGCGACGAUCCCUAGCUGGUCUGAGAGGAUGACCAGCCACACUGGAACUGAGACACGGUCCAGACUCCUACGGGAGGCAGCAGUGGGGAAUAUUGCACAAUGGGCGCAAGCCUGAUGCAGCCAUGCCGCGUGUAUGAAAAAGGCCUUCGGGUUGUAAAGUACUUUCA